ensembl:misc_RNA
GGGGAGGGAGGUGUACAAGUUGGGUUGUGGGGCCACCCAGUGUGGGCUCAGGAAGGGAAGGAAUGUGACCGAGGCCGGGUGUGGCUGAGGAGAGCACAGCCAGUUGUGGGUUUUUCUUGGGGCCCAGAUAGACGUGAGCAAAGAUGGAGGGGCCCUCUCUCGCAGCCCCCACCACACACACUAGGACCUUUCUUCG